rnacentral:piRNA from 1 species
UGGUGAAACUCUCAUUAGAUUUCUCGUGA